rnacentral:rRNA from 1 species
AAAGGAGGAAUCCGGUGGCGGCUGGGCAUGCGGCGCAUUAGCUUGACGGCGGGGUAACGGCCCACCGUGGCGACGAUGCGUAGGGGUUCUGAGAGGAAGGCCCCCCACACUGGAACUGAGACACGGUCCAGACUCCUACGGGAGGCAGCAGUGAGGAAUAUUGGUCAAUGGGCGGAAGCCUGAACCAGCCAAGUCGCGUGAGGGAAUAAGGCCCUACGGGUCGUAAACCUCUUUUGCCGGGGAGCAAGGGCCGGGACGAGUCCCGGUCCGGAGAGUACCCGGAGAAAAAGCAUCGGCUAACUCCGUGCCAGCAGCCGCGGUAAUACGGAGGAUGCGAGCGUUAUCCGGAUUUAUUGGGUUUAAAGGGUGCGUAGGCGGGCUUUUAAGUCAGCGGUAAAAAUUCGGGGCUCAACCCCGUCCGGCCGUUGAAACUGGGGGCCUUGAGUGGGCGAGAAGAAGGCGGAAUGCGUGGUGUAGCGGUGAAAUGCAUAGAUAUCACGCAGAACCCCGAUUGCGAAGGCAGCCUUCCGGCGCCCUACUGACGCUGAGGCACGAAAGUGCGGGGAUCGAACAGGAUUAGAUACCCUGGUAGUCCGCACAGUAAACGAUGGAUGCCAGCUGUCCGGGCCGAAUGGGGCCUGG